CCUACGGGCGGCUGCAGUGGGGAAUAUUGCACAAUGGGGGAAACCCUGAUGCAGCGACGCCGCGUGAAGGACGAAGGUUUUCGGAUCGUAAACUUCUAUCAGCAGGGAGGAAGAAAUGACAGUACCUGAAUAAGCAGCCCCGGCUAACUACGUGCCAGCAGCCGCGGUAAUACGUAGGGGGCAAGCGUUAUCCGGAAUCACUGGGUGUAAAGGGUGCGUAGGCGGUAAUGCAAGUCAGAUGUGAAACCCCUUGGCUCAACCAAGGGCUUGCAUUUGAAACUGUGUUACUAGAGUGCAGGAGAGGAAAGCGGAAUUCCUAGUGUAGCGGUGAAAUGCGUAGAUAUUAGGAAGAACACCAGUGGCGAAGGCGGCUUUCUGGACUGUAACAGACGCUGAGGCACGAAAGCGUGGGUAGCGAACAGGCUUAGAUACCCUAGUAGUC
rnacentral:rRNA from 2 species